rnacentral:misc_RNA from 1 species
UAGCUAAGUCAGUGUCAAGCAGAUAAAC